rnacentral:rRNA from 1 species
GCCGGGAGAUGGACACUGAGACAAAGGUCCAGGCUCUACGGAGUGCAGCAGUCGCGAAACCUUCGCAAUGCGCGCAAGCGUGACGAGGGAACCCCAAGUGCGCAUAUACAAUAUGUGCUUUUCUCAAGUCUAAAAAACUUGGGGAAUAAGGGCUGGGUAAGACUGGUGCCAGCCUCCGCGGUAACACCAGCAGCUCAAGUGGUGAUCGCGUUUACUGGGUUUGAAGCGUGCGUAGUCGGUUCAGCAAGUCUUCUGUGAAAUCCUCAGGCUUAACUUGAGGGAUUGCAGAAGAUACUACUGGGCUCGAGACCGGGUAAGGAGUGAGGUAUUCUAGGGGUAGCGGUGAAAUGCUAUAAUCCCUGGAGGACCACCCGUAGCGAAGGCGUCACUCUGGAACGGGUCUGACGAUGAGGUACGAGAGCUAGGGGAGCAAACAGGAUUAGAUACCCUGGUAGUCCUAGCCGUAAACGAUGCGGAUUUAGUGUUCCUCAAACCUCGUGUUCGGGGAGCGCUGAAGGGAAACCGUUAAAUCCGCCACCUGGGGAGUACGGUCGCAAGGCUGAAACU